AACCCUUUCAGGUUCUAGAUACUGUAGCACUAAAAGUGUACCAUCAUAAAGAUACAACAACGUAGAACAAACAUCACUUCAGAACAAUGGUUGUCCGGCUUCUUCUUCUCCUUGUCCAUGGCAGGGUGAUCUCUAGCUCUCCCCACACUAACAGCAGUAGUAACUCUGGUCUGUCCAUGCAUGGUGCCUGGGGUGGGGCCAACCACCACCCUGUGCCCUAUCCCUGCAGAUUCAACAACAUACCUGACCCAGCGAUGGGUUACCCCUGGCACCCUGUCCUGUACUGCUGUGGCUGCUCCUCUGAGAGUGGCCUCAACGGCCAACAAUGUGGCCAGGGGCAGAGGCAGGGAUAUGGAAUAACUGAGGAGGAUGUUUACAAGGCUACACCUUACCAGGAAAUGACUGGUCCACAUCCACCAAUGAGAAUUCAGGUAGUGCUGCCCCCUAUCCAGGAUGGACCCCCACAGCAAGUCGGCCGAGACCCAGCAGAGAGCACCCAGACUGGGCCACAGCACAUAGGUCCUGCCCCUGGAGCACUUCUACCUCGCAGGAAGACAUGUCGGGCAGUGUGUAAGGGUUAUGCUGAGCGGUACCAGGAGCAAAGGGAGGUCAGAGCCCAGAAGGCCCAGAAGUCAAAUGUUAGGGCUGAUCCCACUAUCCCCACCCACACCACCCUGCCCAACAUCACACACCCUGCCCUACAUUCCACACCCUGAGUGGAGAGGUCAGUGUGUGAGUGCGUGUGUGUGUGAGAGAGUGAGAGAAUCUGACAUUUGUGUAGAAGGUUUGUUCAUCCUGCAUGUGUGAAUGUUUCCGACUAUCAG
rnacentral:lncRNA from 13 species